UUGGGUGCAGGAGCCCAAUGAUUAGGUCUGUUCGACCUUUAAAUUCUUACAUGAUCUGAGUUCAGACCGGCGUGAGCCAGGUCGUUUUCUAUCCUAAGAUUGUUAAUCCAUAUUAGUACGAAAGGACCAUAUGGUUAAAAUAUUUUUUGUUAUAUUGAUUAAUAUUAAUUUAUUUA